AUAGUUCCGUACCCUUCUAUCAAUGUUAAAAUUUCUAUGUCCUUAAAUGGAGUUUUUUUUUUUUCCUUCUUAUUCAUAUAUGCAAUCCUGCUUGCUCAGUAGUUCUUAUUCUCUAGUGUGUGAUGUUAGGUUUCAUUGGUAUUGAUGCAAUUGUUAUCAAACAUGGUAAUGAUAACAACAGCACAAUUGGACUCAAGGUGUGAAAAGACUUGUCUUUGCAGCUGAUUUUGGCUUCGCAAAUCACUUGUUACCAGGGUAUUAUGUAUUAAAGGAUCCUCUAAGAUAUUGGUAGGUGUCUGAAACUAUUUUUGGUUUUGGUUUUGUUUGCUGGAGUUUGAAAGGUUUGCUGAAGUUUCCAGAAUCUAGUGAAGAUGGAGAAAAGACGCUUUCCAAUCACCAAGUAUUUCAUAGUUUGCACUUCAGUAUAUAAAUUUUGCCUAUCAGACAUGAGCUUUUUGUAUUUUAAUUUUGUGAAUUUUGAACAUUGCUGAGAUGUAUGAAAUUAGUGUAACAUUCUCUUUCUGUAAAACUUUUAUCCAAAAA